rnacentral:rRNA from 1 species
UCGAGCGAGAAAUUUACGAAUGAAAUUUCGAUGGAUUUUGUAAAUGGAAAGCGGCGGACGGGUGAGUAACGCGUAGGUAACCUGCCCCAUACAGAGGGAUAGCCACUGGAAACGGUGAUUAAUACCUCAUAAAACUGAGGAUACACAUGUAUACUCAGCCAAAGAUUUAUCGGUAUGGGAUGGACCUGCGUCUGAUUAGUUAGUUGGUGAGGUAACGGCUCACCAAGGCGACGAUCAGUAGCCGACCUGAGAGGGUGAUCGGCCACAUUGGAACUGAGACACGGUCCAAACUCCUACGGGAGGCAGCAGUGGGGAAUAUUGCACAAUGGGCGAAAGCCUGAUGCAGCAACGCCGCGUGAACGAAGAAGGCUCUUGGGUCGUAAAGUUCUGUUCUGAGGGAAGAAGAAAGUGACGGUACCUCAGGAGAAAGCCCCGGCUAACUACGUGCCAGCAGCCGCGGUAAUACGUAGGGGGCAAGCGUUGUCCGGAAUUAUUGGGCGUAAAGAGUAACGUAGGCGGUCUGUUAAGCGCAAGGUGAAAAGCAUAGGCUCAACCAAUGUGAGCCUUGCGAACUG